rnacentral:rRNA from 1 species
GAUGAACGCUGGCGGCGUGCCUAAUACAUGCAAGUAGAACGCUGAAGGAGGAGCUUGCUCUUCUGGAUGAGUUGCGAACGGGUGAGUAACGCGUAGGUAACCUGCCUGGUAGCGGGGGAUAACUAUUGGAAACGAUAGCUAAUACCGCAUGACAACAGUUAUUGCAUGAUAACUGUUUAAAAGGGGCAACUGCUCCACUACCAGAUGGACCUGCGUUGUAUUAGCUAGUUGGUGAGGUAACGGCUCACCAAGGCGACGAUACAUAGCCGACCUGAGAGGGGGAUCGGCCACACUGGGACUGAGACACGGCCCAGACUCCUACGGGAGGCAGCAGUAGGGAAGCUUCGGCAAUGGACGGAAGUCUGACCGAGCAACGCCGCGUGAGUGAAGAAGGUUUUCGGAUCGUAAAGCUCUGUUGUAAGAGAAGAAAGAGUGUGAGAGUGGAAAGUUCACACUGUGACGGUAUCUUACCAGAAAGAGACGGCUAACUACGUG